GUUCUCUCUGAGAACCUUCCGGGAGUUCCAGGAGUACUUGCUGCAGGAGUGAAAUCGACUGCCAAAGGACUCCUUAACUGAGUCUUGUGCAGUAGGACGUCACGCUGCGCGAUUUCUCUGGCUGUGAGAGGGGACCAUACCCCGUAUUAGACUCAUUUUCAAUUCGGUAUCACAACGUGGAUUUAGGACAUUUCCACACUAUGACCUUUACUGAGAAUCAUUGAAUGGGGUUUCGAAUUUUAUGCAGCUCCCCGUUACAGAGAUUAUUUCCCUCCUUCACUGAAUAUAUCAUCAUUUUCUUCAAUUUAUUUCGCAGGUAUUUAUUUGCAGAAAGCUAAGAAGGAAAUGGAAUCAUUUCAGCUCUCCUGUAUGAAAUAAUACAGUAUAGCUUUUCAGUAGAUGAUGCUGACUAUCUUUGCCUUGUUGUUGAAAGACCGCUAAAGAAUGGACUUGGAUUCGGUUCCAAGGGAAAGGACUAGCUGCAUAGGAUUUUGUUACUUUAUUUUCCUACAUAAAUAUGAGAUAGUUUUCCUUAAAAAGCAUGUAGGCAUUCUCAAGCGUUUCAACAUAACCAAUUAGCCGACGAACUACCUAUUCAUAUGAAUGCUGUAUUAAUCAACCAAAAGGGAAC